ACAAAAAUCACUUUGGUGGUCGUUGUGCUGUCUCUCUUUCUCGUUACUCGUUAGGCUUAGAAAUUAGCGGCAGCGAGCGCUGAAGAGCUGCCACAGGCCACAGAAGCAAAAAGGCGACGAUGGGACCCACACCCAGUUCAUCAAACGACAGGUCGGAGAGGAGGAAGAGGAACGCGAAAACGACAAUCCAGUCCCUCGAACCCGACACCCUCUGUAUGAUCUUCGCCCUUCUCGACUUCUUUGACCUCGUUCGUUGUUCCGCCGUCUGCAAAUACUGGAAUACGAUUAUUAAUAAGUCUAAAUUGCUGCGGGAAUUCUACGCCAAGCAGAAGCAGAACUCCACAGAAUUUUCCAAUAAGUCUACAUGCUCAGAGACAUCGUUAAAGACAUACUUAGAGGAGCUUGCCAUGGAGCAUCACAGAGUCUCCUUACAAGAAGGUUUGAUCAAUAUUGAUCAAUGGAAAGGUCAUUCAGUUGGGUUUAAUCAGUGCCGAAUGAAGACGGGCUUGAUUCUUACUGGCAAAGGUGAUAAGGUAAUGUAUCUCUGGUCCCUAGAAAGCUACAAAUGUGUGGAAGAAUAUUUUGUUCCAGACAUAGUUCCUCUAGUUGACUUUGAUUUUGAUGAGAGCAAGAUUGUUGGUUUGGUUGGUACUCAUAUAUGCAUAUGGAGGUGAAAUGGGAAAAGAAGUAUAUUUCCGUCUAAUGAAGGCACGUUUGUGAAAGGUUUAUGCAUGCAUUACGAUGAUCCAGAGGCAGUGGUCGGAUGUGAGGAUGGCACAGCUCGUUUAUUUGACGUUUACAGUAGAAAGUGUUCUCAAAUAAUCAGGAUGCGUGCUGGGCCUGUAACAUGCUUAUGUUUGUGCGAUGAUCAGUUGAUACUUAGUGGUUCCUCUCUUGGGAGCAUCACUGUCUCGGGUAGUUUAUCUGAUCGGCAGUUAGCAACACUAAGAUCAAGAAUAACAAUAGGAGGCAUAAAGACUUUGUGUUACAAUGCUUGUUCACAUCCAGUGUUUGCUGGAUCAACGUCUGGACAUACAUCUUGUUGGGACCUUCGGACAAUGAGAUCUCUAUGGGAAACACGUGUGAGUCCGAAUGUAGUUUAUUCUCUGCAACACCUGCGAAGUGACAAGUCAACUUUAGUUGUUGGUGGAAUAGAUGGUGUGCUACGCACAUUAGAUCAAAACACAGGUCAAGUUCUUGCAAGCUGCGUCAUGGAAGGUAACGAGUUAUCAAGCUCCCAGAACACGUAUGGAGCUACUGAAAAAAGGAAAGGAAGAAGGCUUUCAGAGGGUAUGCCCAUUGACAGCAUUCCUAAAAGUGCUCGACCUCCCAUCACAUGCUUGGCUGUUGGGAUGAAGAAGGUUGUCACUGCACAUAAUGGCAGGCACAUUAGACUCUGGAAAUUCAAUAGCUGACAGGACCUGCUGGUUUUAAUGUACCGGUGGUUUAAAUGUUCAAUUUGA